CAUCUCUUUUCCACAGUUUUUUUUCACUUAGUUCCACUACUGCAGUGGAUUUUAUAGUCAAUGUUUAAAGCCAGCACAGAGUCUGAAGCGAUGGAGGAAAUGUACGUCAAUAUGGAACCUGUUGGAAAAACCGCAUCUAAUCACACAGGUAAGAACAAAGUUACAGAGAAAUUUAGUAUGUAUUGAAUUCAAUUUUGCUAAGGUUGAGAUUUUUGUUAAGGUUGGAGCAGCUCCAAAGGGAGGCUCUGCCUCCGUGCGGCUGUAUGUUUGGGAAUCCUGAAUGUUUUACUUUUGGCUGAACUCAUCGCCCUCAGCAUACACACUCAUGACAUGACAGCAGAUUUUUCUGACAUCAGCAACAUUCUGACCGAGCAGAACAGCAGCAGCAAGUUUCCCUCCAUGAUCGCUAACUUCACUGAAACGGCUCCACGAGCUGAAGACACUUUAAGGGAAAUUGUGUCCUACAGAACGAACAAACAUCAAUUGUUCCUGUUCAUCCAGGGGCUGCAGAAGAAGAGAAGAACAGAUCCACUGGUGAUGGAUGAUUAGGAUCUGUGUUCACUGUGAUAUUAUUCACCAACAAUAAUGUAGCUUACGGUGUUACAUAAAAUCCUAAAGAUAAAAUGUACACUCCCAACUGUUGUGACCUGCAUCUAAUAACACAACUAUUUUACCGCUUGUACUCUGUGUUUUUCUUUCUUGUUAAAAUUCUGACGUGAUAAACAAAC